rnacentral:rRNA from 1 species
GUUCGGAUUGCAGGCUGCAACCCGCCUGCAUGAAGUUGGAAUCGCUAGUAAUCGCGGAUCAGCAUGCCGCGGUGAAUACGUUCCCGGGCCUUGUACACACCGCCCGUCACACCAUGAGAGUCGGGAACACCCGAAGUCCGUAGUCUGACCGCAAGGGGGACGCGGCCGAAGGUGGGUUCGAUAAUUGGGGUGAAGUCGUAACAAGGUAAC